rnacentral:antisense_RNA from 1 species
CUUCACCGUACCGAGCCAGAGCGGCCGAUCAGCGUCACGAUCCUGGCCGUAGGUGGCCAGCAGGGCUUGGGCUUC